rnacentral:rRNA from 1 species
GAUGAACGCUGGCGGCGUGCCUAACACAUGCAAGUCGAGCGAACGGACGAGAAGCUUGCUGCUCUGAUGUUAGCGGCGGACGGGUGAGUAACACGUGGAUAACGUACCUAUAAGACUGGGAUAACUUCGGGAAACCGGAUCUAAUACCGGAGGAGAUCUUGAACCGCAGGGGUCAAAAGUGAAAGACGGUCGUGCUGGCAGGUAUAGAUGGAUCCGCGCUGCAUUAGAUAGUUGGUAAGGUAACGGGUUACCAAGGCAACGAUGCAUAGCCGAACUGACGGACUGGUCGGCCGCCUUGGAGCUGGGCCACCCUCCAGACUCCUACGGGAGGCCCCAGUCGGGAAUCUUCCGCAGUGGGCGGAAACCUGACGGAACAACGCGGCGUGAGUGAUGACAGUCCUCGGAUCGUAAAGCCCUGUUAUUAGGGAAAAACAUAUGUGGACGUAACCGUGCACAUCGUGACGGUACCUAGUCAGAAAGCCACGGCUAACUACGUG